rnacentral:rRNA from 1 species
CAGUAGCCACGGUAAUACGUAGGGGGCGAGCGUUGUCCGAAGUUACUGGGCGUAAAGCGCGCGUAGGCGGCUUCUUAAGUCUGAGGUGAAAGGUUCAACGCUUAACGUGAACAGUGCCUUGGAUACUGGGGAGCUUGAGUAUGGGAGAGGGCAGUGGAAUGGCUGGUGUAGCGGUGAAAUGCGUAGAUAUCAGUCGGAACACCCAUGGCGAAGGCAGCUGCCUGGCCUAAUACUGACGCUGAGGUGCGAAAGCGUGGGGAGCGAACGGGAUUAGAUACCCCGGUAGUCCCUGUCUCUUAUA